rfam:Gossypium hirsutum cultivar TM-1 chromosome 16, whole genome shotgun sequence
AUUCCAUGAUGAGGGCAUUUUCGUAAUAAUUCUUUGUACCUUUCCCAUGCCUUAUAUAAGGACUCAUCAUCCAUUUGUUUUUGUUGGAAGGCAGUGAUCUCAUUUCUCAACUU